rnacentral:rRNA from 1 species
UUUCGCAAUGCCCGAAAGGGUGACGGAGCGACGCCGCAUGGACGAUGAAGGCCCUCGGGUUGUAAAGUCCUGUCAGGUGGGAAGAACAGCAACGGGAUGAAUAAUCCCGUUGCCUGACGUUACCAUCAGAGGAAGCACCAGCAAACUUCGUGCCAGCAGCUGCGGUAAUACGAAGGGUGCGAGCGUUGUUCGGAAUUAUUGGGCGUAAAGAGCACGUAGGUGGAUUUGUAAGUCAGAUGUGAAAGCCUUCUGUUCAACGGGAGAAUUGCAUCUGAAACUACAGACCUUGAGUAUAGGAGGGGAGAAUGGAACUUCUGGAGGAGCGGUGAAAUGCGUAGAUAUCAGAAGGAACGCCGGCGGCGAAAGCGAUUCUCUGGCCUAUUACUGACACUCAGUGUGCGAAAGCUAGGGGAGCAAACGGGAUUAGAUACCCCGGUAGUCCUAGCCGUAAACGAUGGGCACUAAGUAGAGGGGUUUU